rnacentral:misc_RNA from 1 species
UUUUUUAUAGCAAUAUUUUCUUCAUUUUCAAAUUUAUAAUGAAAUGCUUCAUUGUGCAACACAUCGCAAAUUCAAAUGUACGGUACAAUCUACAGCAAUGGUAACGAGUAUAGUUAGAUAGUACACAAUGAUACUUCUGUUUAAAUCAUCUUUCAAGCCCGUCAAUAUUUGAAAAAUAAACAUUCUCUUCUUUUCCCUUUACUCCGUUUUCUCUUCAACUUGGUGCCUUGCCAGUAACUCGCUGGGCAAUCCACCCUAGGCCAUCAUACAGACCUUCACCUGUAAG